AGGGCGCACGGAGGAUGCCUUGGCACUAGGAGCCGAAGAAGGACGCAACGAACGGCGAAACGCAUCAGGGAGCUGUAAGUAAGCAGAUCUGGUGAUAUCCGAAUGGGGGAACCCUAUAGGAGUAAUAUCCUAUAACCAUUACCUGAAUAAAUAGGGUAAUAGGAGGCAUACCCAGGGAACUGAAACAUCUAAGUACCUGGAGGAAAAGAAAGAAAAAAUCGAUUUCCUAAGUAGCGGCGAGCGAAAGGGAAAGAGCCCAAACCAUGGAAACAUGGGGUAAUAGGACCACGAAAUAAAGAAUUUCAGUAUAGACGAAUGACGUGGGAAAGUCAACAAAAGAAGGUGAGAGUCCUGUAGUUGAAAUACUGAGAGGAAGUUAGUGGGAUCCUGAGUACGGCCAGACACGAGGAAUCUGGUCGGAAUUAGCGAGGACCAUCUCGUAAGGCUAAAUACUACCUAGUGACCGAUAGUGAACCAGUACCGUGAGGGAAAGGUGAAAAGAACCCCGGGAGGGGAGUGAAAAAGAACCUGAAACCGUGUGCCUACAAAUAGUCAAAGCUCGUUAAAGAGUGAUGGCGUGCCUUUUGUAGAAUGAACCGGCGAGUUACGAUAUAGUGCAAGGUUAAGGAGAAAAACCGGAGCCGAAGCGAAAGCGAGUCUUAAUAGGGCGAAGAGUAUUAUGUCGUAGACCCGAAACCGGGUGAGCUAGCCAUGUGCAGGGUGAAGGUUGGGUAAAACCAACUGGAGGCCCGAACCGUAGCCUGUUGAAAAAGGCCCGGAUGACAUGUGGCUAGGGGUGAAAUUCCAAUCGAACUCGGAUAUAGCUGGUUCUCCCCGAAAUAGCUUUAGGGCUAGCCUCGUUAAAUACUUACUGGAGGUAGAGCACUGAAUACACGAUGGCCUCACCUCGAGGUACUGAGUGUAAUCAAACUCCGAAUGCCAGUAAGGGAAAAACGGGAGUCAGACUGUGGGUGAUAAGGUCCAUGGUCAAAAGGGAAACAGCCCAGACCGCCAGUUAAGGUCCCAAAAUAAACGUUAAGUGGUAAAGGAUGUGGAGACACAUAGACAGCUAGGAUGUUGGCUUAGAAGCAGCCACCAUUUAAAGAGUGCGUAAUAGCUCACUAGUCGAGUGACUCUGCGCCGAAAAUGUACCGGGGCUAAACGUUUUACCGAAACUGCGGAUUCUGUAAUGGGAUGGUAGGGGAGCGUUCUAACAACGGAGAAGCUAGACCGAGAGGACUAGUGGAGAUGUUAGAAGUGAGAAUGCCGGUGUAAGUAGCGAUAAGAUAGGUGAGAAUCCUAUCCGUCGAAAGCCUAAGGUUUCCAGAGGAAGGCUCGUCCGCUCUGGGUAAGUCGGGACCUAAGGUGAGGCCGAAAGGCGUAGCCGAUGGACAACUGGUAGACAAUCCAGUACCACCUUUAUAACUGAAGGAGUGACGGAGAAGGCUAGGGUGAGCCCACAGAUGGAAUAGUGGGUCUAAGCAGCGAGGAAGUAGAGUAGGCAAAUCCGCUUUACAAAGAAUUUGAGCUGUAAAAGAUAGCAGAAUGAUGCGAAGCACCUGAGGUCAAGCUUCCAAGAAAAACUUCUAGGGCUAAUUAUAGAGGUGCCCGUACCGUAAACCGACACAGGUAGGCGAGGAGAGAAUCCUAAGACGCGCGAGAGAACCAUCGUUAAGGAACUCGGCAAAAUGACCCCGUAACUUAGGGAGAAGGGGUGCUUAUUGAAAGAUAAGCCGCAGUGAAAUGGCCCAAGCGACUGUUUAACAAAAACACAGGUCUCUGCUAAACCGAAAGGUGAAGUAUAGGGGCUGACGCCUGCCCGGUGCUGGAAGGUUAAGGGGAAAUGUAAGGAAACGAAGCAUUAAACUGAAGCCCCAGUAAACGGCGGCCGUAACUAUAACGGUCCUAAGGUAGCGAAAUUCCUUGUCAGGUAAGUUCUGACCCGCACGAAAGGCGUAACGAUUUGGGCACUGUCUCAACGGUGGACUCGGUGAAAUCAUAGUACCUGUGAAGAUGCAGGUUACCCGCGACAGGACGGAAAGACCCCGUGGAGCUUCACUGUAACUUGAUAUUGAGUUUCGGUGUAACAUGUACAGGAUAGGUAGGAGACAAAGAGACCAGUACGCUAGUAUUGGAGGAGUCGACGUUGGGAUACUACCCUUGUUGCACUGGAAUUCUAACCUACAGCCCUAAACGGGUUGAGGGACAUUGUCAGGUGGGCAGUUUGACUGGGGCGGUCGCCUCCUAAAGAGUAACGGAGGCGCCCAAAGGUUCCCUCAGAAUGGUUGGAAAUCAUUUGAAGAGCGCAAAGGCAUAAGGGAGCUUGACUGCGAGACCAACAAGUCGAGCAGGGACGAAAGUCGGGCUUAGUGAUCCGGCGGUGCCGAAUGGAAGGGCCGUCGCUCAACGGAUAAAAGCUACCCCGGGGAUAACAGGCUGAUCACAUCCAAGAGUUCACAUCGACGAUGUGGUUUGGCACCUCGAUGUCGGCUCAUCGCAUCCUGGGGCUGAAGUCGGUCCCAAGGGUUGGGCUGUUCGCCCAUUAAAGCGGUACGCGAGCUGGGUUCAGAACGUCGUGAGACAGUUCGGUCCCUAUCCGUCGUGGGCGUAGGAAAUUUGAGAGGAGCUGUCCUUAGUACGAGAGGACCGGGAUGGACAUACCGCUGGUGUACCAGUUGUUCCGCCAGGGGCAUAGCUGGGUAGCUACGUAUGGAAGGGAUAAACGCUGAAAGCAUCUAAGCGUGAAGCCCACCUCAAGAUGAGAUUUCCCAUUCAUAAAGAAGUAAGAACCCUUGA
rnacentral:rRNA from 1 species